rnacentral:rRNA from 1 species
UAAUACAUGCAAGUCGAGCGGAUUGAUGGGAGCUUGCUCCCAUCAGUCAGCGGCGGACGGGUGAGUNACACGUGGGUAACCUGCCUGUAAGACUGGGAUAACUCCGGGAAACCGGGGCUAAUACCGGAUAACUCAUUUCCUCGCAUGAGGAAAUGUUGAAAGGUGGCUUUUAGCUAUCACUUACAGAUGGACCCGCGGCGCAUUAGCUAGUUGGUGAGGUAACGGCUCACCAAGGCGACGAUGCGUAGCCGACCUGAGAGGGUGAUCGGCCACACUGGGACUGAGACACGGCCCAGACUCCUACGGGAGGCAGCAGUAGGGAAUCUUCCGCAAUGGACGAAAGUCUGACGGAGCAACGCCGCGUGAGUGAUGAAGGUUUUCGGAUCGUAAAACUCUGUUGUUAGGGAAGAACAAGUACCGUUCGAAUAGGGCGGUACCUUGACGGUACCUAACCAGAAAGCCACGGCUAACUACGUGCCAGCAGCCGCGGUAAUAC